AGUGAACGCUGGCGGUAGGCCUAACACAUGCAAGUCGAACGGCAGCACAGUAAGAGCUUGCUCUUACGGGUGGCGAGUGGCGGACGGGUGAGGAAUACAUCGGAAUCUACUUUUUCGUGGGGGAUAACGUAGGGAAACUUACGCUAAUACCGCAUACGACCUACGGGUGAAAGCAGGGGAUCUUCGGACCUUGCGCGAUUGAAUGAGCCGAUGUCGGAUUAGCUAGUUGGCGGGGUAAAGGCCCACCAAGGCGACGAUCCGUAGCUGGUCUGAGAGGAUGAUCAGCCACACUGGAACUGAGACACGGUCAAGACUCCUACGGGAGGCAGCAGUGGGGAAUAGUGGACAAUGGGCGCAAGCCUGAUCCAGCCAUACCGCGUGGGUGAAGAAGGCCUUCGGGUUGUAAAGCCGUUUUGUUGGGAAAGAAAAGCAGCAGGUUAAUACCCCGCUGUUCUGACGGUACCCAAAGAAUAAGCACCGGCUAACUUCGUG
rnacentral:rRNA from 1 species